UUAUUGACAUUACAUGUCAAAAUGAUCUGGUUAUUAGCCUUUUAUCAUUUAUUUUUCUAUUACCCUCAUUGCCGGCAGUGAUGCCGGUUUUUUUU
rnacentral:sRNA from 19 species